CAUUUAUAAUUAUAUGUAAUAUAUAAUAUAUGACAUAUAGUGUAUAAUAUAUAAUAUAUAUUUUUCUGUUAUAUUUUAUAUGUUAUAUAUGGGUUUUUUUGUUUUUUUGUGGUUUUUUUUUUUUUUUUUUUUUUUUGAAACAGUCUUGCUCUGUCACCCAGGCUGGAGUGCAGUGGCGCGAUCUCGGCUCACUGUAAGCUCCAUCUCCCGGGUUAACACCAUUCUGCUGCCUCAGCCUCCCGAGUAGCUGGGACUACAGGUGCCCACCACCACACCCGGCUAAUUUUUUUGUAUUUUUAGUAGAGACAGGGUUUCACCGUGUUAGCCAGGAUGGUCUCGAUCUCCUGACCUCGUGAUCCGCCGCCUCGGCCUCCCAAAGUGCUGGGAUUACAGGCGUGAGCCACCGCGCCCGGCCUAUAUAGGUAUUUUUGAAACCCUUUAGAAGGUCAAGACUCUUCAGAAGGUCAAGGUCAUUUAGCUGGGUGAACGAUUAAUCCCCGCAAGCAACAACACCCUGUGUAUAAACUGCACCCAGAACGCAGCCCUUUCAAGAUGGAGAAGGAGGGGCCUCAGGGAGGGCAGCACGCCCAGCACACCUGCCAGGUCUGUGAAAGAUGGGAGAGGUUGAAGAAGAAAGAGUAGGAAAAAGCUUUCUUCCCCCCUCAAGUUAGAAAGCGGGCAGAGCAAGAGACAGAGAUCAAAAACCACGCAAGGUCCCUCAUGUCAACCUCUCCCUGUUUUAAUUAAGCAGAGAGUCCACACCCCCACCCCCACUCCCUCAAAAAUGCUUUGCACUCAGCAAGAGCUGCUUCACAGCAGGUUGCAGUUAAGCCUUCAAACAACCAGCAGCCUCAGGAAAUGCCAGCAGCCCACAGGUGCGGGGCGAGGCGGGGCCCCUCCCGUUCUCCGCACCCAGGCGGAGCAGUCACAAGACGGACUAAGGAGCCGCAAGAGCGUUCCCUGAACCCUUCUCCACGGGGCCGUGAUUCUCGGCAGCGAGCCUCCAACUGUGGCAACCCUCGGUGGGAGGCAAGAUUCCUCUCAGAGACGAGAUGCUGAGGAAGAUGCUGAGAGACGCCUUGGGGGACCUUCUCAGAAGAGAAAAGCAAGCCCCGCUG
rnacentral:lncRNA from 1 species